rnacentral:SRP_RNA from 1 species
GCUGGGCACAGUGGCACGUGCCUGUAGUUCCAGCUACUCGGGAGGCUGAGGUGGGAGGAUCGCUUGAGCCCAGGAGUUCUGGGCUGUAGUGCGCUAUGCCAAUCGGGUGUCCGCACUAAGUUCGGCAUCAAUAUGGUGACUGCCCGGGAGCGGGGGACCACCAGGUUGCCUAAGGAGGGGUGAACCAGCCCAGGUCAGAAGCAAGAGCAGGUCAAAAUUCCCGUGCUGAUCAGAGGUGGGAUCGUGCCGGUGAAUAGCCACUGCACUCCAUAGCGAGACCUUGUCUCUA